UUCCAUUCUACAAAUCACGAAACCCUUUCGUAUGAGAAGAUCAAAAUCCCUACUCCAAAUCACAAACAACAAAUCCCUAAAUCCCUUUGGUGCAAAAUUAUCAAUUCCAAGAACCCUAAAUCCCUAAAUUUCUUAUCAUAAUUCUCGGUUGAUAAAUUCCAAACGACUCACAAACCCUUCGAAACUGACUAAUCCCUUCUCGAUUGGUUUCGUUCCCACUGAAUAUCCCUCCAAUUGAAAUUAUCCCUGAAUCUCCCUCUCACGAAGCAAAAAUAAAAGUAUGAAUCCCUAAUCCCUCUGCCAGUCACGAUGCUUCAAUCCCUAAUUCCUCUUACGGAGCUUCAAUCUCUCAGCCACCGAUUCUAUUUAUUGAAUCGGAGUUUAGUUCGAAGCUCAAUCGCAGUUUCAACAACGCCUCAGCUCGAAGUUUAAUAUCAAUUUCGACAGAUGCUGUUUAUAGUCCAUACUCCAACUCUGCCUUUCUUUGAUCAAGACAUUUGUUGUUGCUUAAGAGAGAGUGUCUUCAAGAAGGUAUGUUCCAUUUUUCAGUAUUCACAUACAUGCAUAGAUGCAAGUAGGCUAGACUAGCGCAUUUAUUUGGUUUAGAUCCUGUCUUCAUUUUGCAGGCACCUGUGGUGUAUUUUUUUAAUAUCUGAUUUUCAUGUACAAGACUGUUAACAAAAUUCUGGUGCAAAUAGGAUGUUUCUGCUGAUGCUGGUUGUUGUUAGGGGUGGUACAGUUACUCUAUGUUAUAAUUAUAUUCUCUGAAUUUUAAUUAGAUAGUUGAUCUGCUCAUUGUUUCUUUUCAAUUUUCUCUGAAUUUUAAUUAUAUAACUUUUAUUUUGCAGAUGAUGAAUAACGAUAUCGAUGAAGAAAUGCAAGAUUUUGAAGAUGAAGAGGUGUAGAUGUUUAAGUUUUUUUAAUAGGAUAUACAUUUUGAAGAUGUUAGUUUGAUGGUGAAUGAUUCACAUUAGGAUAUUCAUUUAAUAUGUUAGUUUGAUUGUGAAUGAUUGACAAUAUUUAGGACAACUUUAUGUUGAUCGAUGUUAUUUUGAUACUGUAUAAUAGAAAGAUAAUCAUUUUAGUUUAAUAA